AAUGUUGAUACGAGUUUCGUCCAGUGCGGGUCUCUUCGGCUAGCACCUCAAGGCCGACUUGGGGUUAUCGUACCGUAUCAACUCAGAGAUGUGACAGUACGAGCAGAAAUCCUCUGGUGAGGAAUUCACCUGCACUGAACACGAACUCAUACUUCCGCCAAGCAAAUCCUGAUGCUACUGAGAAUGUGAAGAGGGACUGAUCAUGAAAAGGCGGCAUUAGAAGAAACGGAAAAAAAA